rnacentral:rRNA from 1 species
GAUGAACGCUGGCGGCGUGCCUAAUACAUGCAAGUCGAGCGAACGGACGAGAAGCUUGCUUCUCUGAUGUUAGCGGCGGACGGGUGAGUAACACGUGGAUAACCUACCUAUAAGACUGGGAUAACUUCGGGAAACCGGAGCUAAUACCGGAUAAUAUUUUGAACCGCAUGGUUCAAAAGUGAAAGACGGUCUUGCUGUCACUUAUAGAUGGAUCCGCGCUGCAUUAGCUAGUUGGUAAGGUAACGGCUUACCAAGGCAACGAUGCAUAGCCGACCUGAGAGGGUGAUCGGCCACACGGGAACUGAGACACGGUCCAGACUCCUACGGGAGGCAGCAGUAGGGAAUCUUACGCAAUGGGCGAAAGCCUGACGGAGCAACGCAGCGUGAGUGAUGAAGGUCUUCGGAUCGUAAAGCUCUGUUAUUAGGGAAGAACAUAUGUGUAAGUAACUGUGCACAUCUUGACGGUACCUAAACAGAAAGCCACGGCUAACUACGUG